GGCGAGAUGGUCGAGUGGUCUAAGACGUUAGAUUAAGGCUCUAAUCCUGCGGGGCGUGGGUUCGAACCCCACUCUCGUCA
rfam:Perkinsela sp. CCAP 1560/4 XT18scaffold_489, whole genome shotgun sequence.